rnacentral:rRNA from 1 species
UGCCUUUGAUACUGGUUAUCUUGAGUUGUAUUGAAGUAGGCGGAAUAUGUAGUGUAGCGGUGAAAUGCAUAGAUAUUACAUAGAACACCAAUUGCGAAGGCAGCUUACUAAGUACUAACUGACGCUGAUGGACGAAAGCGUGGGUAGCGAACAGGAUUAGAUACCCUGGUAGUCCACGCCGUAAACGAUGGAUACUAGCUGUUCGGGGCCUUGAGCUCUGAGCGGCUAAGCGAAAGUGAUAAGUAUCCCACCUGGGGAGUACGUUCGCAAGAAUGAAACUCAAAGGAAUUGACGGGGGCCCGCACAAGCGGUGGAGCAUGUGGUUUAAUUCGAUGAUACGCGAGGAACCUUACCAGGGCUUAAAUGUAGUCUGACAGCUUUAGAGAUAGAGUUUUCUUCGGACAGAUUACAAGGUGCUGCAUGGUUGUCGUCAGCUCGUGCCGUGAGGUGUCAGGUUAAGUCCUAUAACGAGCGCAACCCCUGUCGUUAGUUGCCAGCAUGUCAUGAUGGGGACUCUAACGAGACUGCCGGUGCAAACCGCGAGGAAGGUGGGGAUGACGUCAAAUCAUCACGGCCCUUACGUCCUGGGCCACACACGUGCUACAAUGGCCGGUACAGAGAGCAGCCACGUCGCAAGGCGGAGCGAAUCUAUAAAACCGGUCACAGUUCGGAUCG